rnacentral:rRNA from 1 species
CCUUCGGGGAACGAUAACGGCGUCGAGCGGCGGACGGGUGAGUAAUGCCUAGGAAAUUGCCCUGAUGUGGGGGAUAACCAUUGGAAACGAUGGCUAAUACCGCAUAAUGCCUACGGGCCAAAGAGGGGGACCUUCGGGCCUCUCGCGUCAGGAUAUGCCUAGGUGGGAUUAGCUAGUUGGUGAGGUAAGGGCUCACCAAGGCGACGAUCCCUAGCUGGUCUGAGAGGAUGAUCAGCCACACUGGAACUGAGACACGGUCCAGACUCCUACGGGAGGCAGCAGUGGGGAAUAUUGCACAAUGGGCGCAAGCCUGAUGCAGCCAUGCCGCGUGUGUGAAGAAGGCCUUCGGGUUGUAAAGCACUUUCAGUCGUGAGGAAGGUAGUGUAGUUAAUAGCUGCAUUAUUUGACGUUAGCGACAGAAGAAGCACCGGCUAACUCCGUGCCAGCAGCCGCAGUAAUACGGAGGGUGCGAGCGUUAAUCGGAAUUACUGGGCGUAAAGCGCAUGCAGGUGGUUUGUUAAGUCAGAUGUGAAAGCCCGGGGCUCAACCUCGGAAUUGCAUUUGAAACUGGCAGACUAGAGUACUGUAGAGGGGGGUAGAAUUUCAGGUGUAGCGGUGAAAUGCGUAGAGAUCUGAAGGAAUACCGGUGGCGAAGGCGGCCCCCUGGACAGAUACUGACACUCAGAUGCGAAAGCGUGGGGAGCAAACAGGAUUAGAUACCCUGGUAGUCCACGCCGUAAACGAUGUCUACUUGGAGGUUGUGGCCUUGAGCCGUGGCUUUCGGAGCUAACGCGUUAAGUAGACCGCCUGGGGAGUACGGUCGCAAGAUAAAACUCAAAUGAAUUGACGGGGGCCCGCACAA